rnacentral:rRNA from 1 species
GACGAACGCUGGCGGCGUGCUUAACACAUGCAAGUCGAACGGAAAGGCCCUGCUUUUGUGGGGUGCUCGAGUGGCGAACGGGUGAGUAACACGUGAGUAACCUGCCCUUGACUUUGGGAUAACUUCAGGAAACUGGGGCUAAUACCGGAUAGGAGCUCCUGCUGCUUUGUGUGGGUUGGAAAGUUUCGGCGGUUGGGGAUGGACUCGCGGCUUAUCAGCUUGUUGGUGGGGUAGUGGCUUACCAAGGCUUUGACGGGUAGCCGGCCUGAGAGGGUGACCGGCCACAUUGGGACUGAGAUACGGCCCAGACUCCUACGGGAGGCAGCAGUGGGGAAUAUUGCACAAUGGGCGGAAGCCUGAUGCAGCAACGCCGCGUGCGGGAUGACGGCCGUCGGGUUGUAAACCGCGUUCGCCUGUGACGAAGCGUGAGUGACGGUAAUGGGUAAAGAAGCACCGGCUAACUACGUG